GAUGAACGCUGGCGGCGUGCUUAACACAUGCAAGUCGAACGAUGAACCGGGUGCUUGCACUCGGGGAUUAGUGGCGAACGGGUGAGUAACACGUGAGCAACCUGCCCCUGACUCUGGGAUAAGCGCUGGAAACGGCGUCUAAUACUGGAUAUGUCCCGUCACCGCAUGGUGUGCGGGUGGAAAGAUUUUUCGGUUGGGGAUGGGCUCGCGGCCUAUCAGCUUGUUGGUGAGGUAAUGGCUCAUCAAGGCGUCGACGGGUAGCUGGCCUGAGAGGGUGACCGGCCACACUGGGACUGAGACACGGCCCAGACUCCUACGGGAGGCAGCAGUGGGGAAUAUUGCGCAAUGGGCGGAAGCCUGAUGCAGCAACGCCGCGUGAGGGAUGACGGCCUUCGGGUUGUAAACCUCUUUUAGCAGGGAAGAAGCGAGAGUGACGGUACCUGCAGAAAAAGCACCGGCUAACUACGUGCCAGCAGCCGCCGUAA
rnacentral:rRNA from 1 species